UACGGAGGGUGCAAGCGUUAUCCGGAUUCACUGGGUUUAAAGGGUGCGUAGGAGGGCAGGGAAGUCAGUGGUGAAAUCUCCGGGCUUAACCGGGAGGGUGCGGCGAAUACUGAGAUGCUGGAGUGCGGGAGAGGUAAGCGGAAUUCCUGGUGUAGCGGUGAAAUGCGUAGAUAUCAGGAGGAACACCUGCGGUGUAGACGGCUUACUGGACCGUAACUGACGCUGAGGCACGAAAGCGUGGGUAGCAAACAGG
rnacentral:rRNA from 1 species